GUAUUCGGGUAAUCGAGCAAUUUUAAUUGUUAGGAAAGUCCUUGCUAGCACAGCUGAGAUGCUGUAGUGUUUAUGCCUAAUCAAUUCAUAAGUUAGGACAUCUGGAAGGUGAUGGCGAGAAUUUAUCCUGUUAAAUGGAUAAAAGCUCCUAAGGUGCCACAGAGACGAUGCCUAUAGGAAACUAUAGGAGUGGAACGGGUAAACCCCAUAAGCUAGAAACCCAAAUUUGGUAGGGGAAUCUUAAAUCAUAAAUGAAUUGAUUUAAGACUAUUUUAAAUAGAGAUAAAUGAUUACCGCUUAGUAAUAAGUACAGAACAAGGCUUACAGAA
rnacentral:RNase_P_RNA from 1 species